UGGUUGAUUGAAAGGAAAGCUAAUUAGCACUGGACCUGACAACGAGGGAGAAUUUCUCAGAAAACAGUUGUCACACAUAAAUCAGCUAAUGCUUUUGGCUAUGUCGUUUU